ACAGAUGGACCCGCGGCGCAUUAGCUAGUUGGUGAGGUAACGGCUCACCAAGGCAACGAUGCGUAGCCGACCUGAGAGGGUGAUCGGCCACACUGGGACUGAGACACGGCCCAGACCUCUACGGGAGGCAGCAGUAGGGAAUCUUCCGCAAUGGACGAAAGUCUGACGGAGCAACGCCGCGUGAGUGAUGAAGGUUUUCGGAUCGUAAAGCUCUGUUGUUAGGGAAGAACAAGUACCGUUCGAAUAGGGCGUACCUUGACGGUACCUAACCAGAAAGCCACGGCUAACUACGUGCCAGCAGCCGCGGUAAUACGUAGGUGGCAAGCGUUGUCCGGAAUUAUUGGGCGUAAAGGGCUCGCAGGCGGUUUCUUAAGUCUGAUGUGAAAGCCCCCGGCUCAACCGGGGAGGGUCAUUGGAAACUGGGGAACUUGAGUGCAGAAGAGGAGAGUGGAAUUCCACGUGUAGCGGUGAAAUGCGUAGAGAUGUGGAGGAACACCAGUGGCGAAGGCGACUCUCUGGUCUGUAACUGACGCUGAGGAGCGAAAGCGUGGGGAGCGAACAGGAUUAGAUACCCUGGUAGUCCACGCCGUAAACGAUGAGUGCUAAGUGUUAGGGGGUUUCCGCCCCUUAGUGCUGCACUAACGCAUUAAGCACCCGCCUGGGAG
rnacentral:rRNA from 1 species